rnacentral:rRNA from 1 species
UACGUAGGGGGCAAGCGUUGUCCGGAAUCAUUGGGCGUAAAGAGCGCGUAGGCGGCUCGUUAAGUGUGAAGUGAAAUCUCUAGGGCUCAACCCAGAAACUGCUUUACAUACUGGCGAGCUGGAGUGAUGCAGAGGUUUGUGGAAUUCCUGGUGUAGCGGUGAAAUGCGUUGAUAUCAGGAGGAACACCCAUGGCGAAGGCAGCAAACUGGGCAUUAACUGACGCUGAGGCGCGAAAGCGUGGGUAGCAAACAGG